rnacentral:rRNA from 1 species
CACAGCACAACUUCAUAAAUAACACCAAUAAGACCAAAUUCCUAGCAAAUAACUGAGCUAUACUAUUUUUAUAGUAGAACUAAUGCUAAAACUAGUAACAAGAAAACUUCUCUCCGCACCCCUGUGCCCCAGAAAUAGAAGACAUACUGGAUAUUAACAGACCAAAAUAGGAGCAUCACACUGUCAAACCAACCCAGGAGUGCCAAAAAGAGGGUUAAAAGCUAUAUAAGGAACUCAGCAAACCCUGCGUCUCAACUGUUUACCAAAAACACAGCCUUUAGCUGAACAAGUAUUAAAGGUGUUGCCUGCCCAGUGAAACUUUUCAACGGCCGCGGUAUCCUAACCGUGCAAAGGUAGCGUAAUCACU